AAUAGAUACCCCGGUAGUCCACGCCGUAAACGAUGAGUGCUAAGUGUUAGAGGGUUUCCGCCCUUUAGUGCUGCAGCUAACGCAUUAAGCACUCCGCCUGGGGAGUACGGUCGCAAGACUGAAACUCAAAGGAAUUGACGGGGGCCCGCACAAGCGGUGGAGCAUGUGGUUUAAUUCGAAGCAACGCGAAGAACCUUACCAGGUCUUGACAUCCCACUGACCGGUAUAGAGAUAUACCCUUUCCCUUCGGGGACAGUGGUGACAGGUGGUGCAUGGUUGUCGUCAGCUCGUGUCGUGAGAUGUUGGGUUAAGUCCCGCAACGAGCGCAACCCUUGAUCUUAGUUGCCAGCAUUUAGUUGGGCACUCUAAGGUGACUGCCGGUGACAAACCGGAGGAAGGUGGGGAUGACGUCAAAUCAUCAUGCCCCUUAUGACCUGGGCUACACACGUGCUACAAUGGAUGGUACAAGGGGCUGCAAGACUGCGAAGUCAAGCCAAUCCCAAUAAAACCAUUCUCAGUUCGGAUUGCAGG
rnacentral:rRNA from 1 species